rnacentral:rRNA from 1 species
CGGUAAUUCCAGCUCCAAUAGCGUAUACUAAAGUUGUUGCAGUUAAAAAGCUCGUAGUUGGAUUUCUGCGGGGACGGAGCGGCCGGUCGCAAUUUGCGACUCGAGCUAGCGCUUUCCCCGCAUCCUGCCGCGAACCGUGCUACCAUUAGUUUGGUGGCGCUGGGGAUCGGCUCGAUUACUUUGAGAAAAAUAGAGUGUUCAAAGCAGGCCACACGCCUUGAAUAAGUUAGCAUGGAAUAAUGACUAAGGACUUUGGUUCUUUUCGUUGGUGUUCGGGACUGAAGUAAUGAUUGAUAGGGACAGUUGGGGCGGUCCGUAUUCCAAAGCGAGAGGUGAAAUUCUUAGACCUUCGGAAGACGAACAGCUGCGAAAGCGUUCCGCAAGGAUGUUCCCUUUGAUCAAGAACGAAAGUUGGGGGAUCGAAGACGAUCAGAUACCGUCGUAGUCUCAACUAUAAACUAUACCAGCUAGGGAUCGGCCAACGUUUAAUUUAUCGACUUGGUCGGCACCUUAUGAGAAAUCAAAGCAUCUGGGUUCCGGGGGGAGUAUGGUCGCAAGGCUGAAACUUAAAGAAAUUGACGGAAGGGCACCACCAGCCGUGGAGCCUGUGGCUUAAUUUGACUCAACACGGGAAAACUUACCAGGUCCAGACAUAGGAAGGAUUGACAGAUUGAUAGCUCUUUCUUGAUUCUGUGGGUGGUGGUGCAUGGCCGUUUUUAGUCGGUGGAUGUGAUCUGUCUGCUUAAUUGCGUUAACGGACGAGACCCCAGCCUGCUAAAUAGCGCGGCCGAGCUUUGCUCGGUGCGAGCUUCUUAGAGGGACCAUGAUGCGCGAUAGCACAAGGAAGUUUGGGGCAACAACAGGUCUGUGAUGCCCUUAGAUGUUCUGGUCCGCACACGGGCUACACUGGCGCCUGCAACGAGCAUAUCAGCUGGCCCGAGAGGGUCUUGGCUAAUCUUUGGAACCGGCGCCGUGCUUGGGAUUGACCAUUGCAAUUGUUGGUCAUGCAACGAGGAAUGCCUUGUAAACGCGAGUCAUCAGCUCGCAUUGAAUACGUCCCUGCCCUUUGUACACACCGCCCGUCGCUCCUACCGAUGAGUGUUCCGAUGAAAUUUUCGGAGAGCACCAGAGAACGGGGCUCCGCCUUGCAGAUCUGGAGGCUCAAAGUCACUUAAAUCUGAACAUUUCGAGGAAGGAGAAGUCGUAACAAGGUAACC